GUGCCAGCCGCCGCGGUAAUACAGAGGUGGCAAGUGUUGUUCGGAUUUACUGGGCGUAAAGGGUCCGCAGGCGGCUUUGUGUGUCAGAUGUGAAAGCCCACGGCUUAACCGUGGAAUGGCAUUUGAAACUACAGGGCUAGAGUACAGGAGAGGAUAGGGGAAUUCAUGGUGUAGCGGUGAAAUGCGUAGAUAUCAUGAAGAACACCGGUGGCGAAAGCGCCUAUCUGGACUGAUACUGACGCUCAUGGACGAAAGCCAGGGGAGCAAAGAGGAUUAGAAACCCGGGUAGUCC
rnacentral:rRNA from 1 species